rnacentral:lncRNA from 1 species
AAUGUUUGACUUUUGUUAAAUCACAGGUUUUAAAAAGUAGGAUCCACAUCAAAAUUGUGUUACAAUCGGAGGUUAUCAAAAGCAUGUUUUAUUUGCUUUUGCCAUUCCUAUGCAUAAAAGUGAUUUGCCAGAAGACCGUUCAAUUAUUUGUUUACCAAAAUAUCCAAUCUUAUCUUCUCCUCCAUGCUCUCUCGAUAACCAGUGAACCGAUUAGUCUCAAUAUCCACAUCUUUCAAUCUCUUCAUCGACCUCUUCCCUUCUUGAAGAAGAACUUCUGUUUAUAGAUGUUGCUCUUCUCUUUUUUUUUUUAUAGCCCCAAACAAUUGAAAAACCCACAAACUAAUAUCCACAACCAAGAUCUAAAAAAAUCACCACAAGAUCUGUUUUUUUAAGUCCUAUAAGCCCCCUUUUGUAUACAAGUAAUUGUAUUUUUUGCAAAAAAAUCUAGUUUGGUUUUGAUAUGCCUUCAAUCUCUCAUCUGUGCAUGUUCUUAAAAAUGUCAAAUCUUACAAGAUCUCAUUCAUUGUCAAAAUUGUAUCC